rnacentral:rRNA from 1 species
CCUACGGGUGGCUGCAGUGGGGAAUAUUGCGCAAUGGGCGAAAGCCUGACGCAGCGACGCCGCGUGAGGGAUGAAGGUCUUCGGAUCGUAAACCUCUGUCAGCAGGGAAGAACGGUCACUGUGCUAAUCAGCAAUAAAUUGACGGUACCUGCAAAGGAAGCACCGGCGAACUCCGUGCCAGCCGCCGCGGUACUACGGAGGGUGCGAGCGUUAGCCGGGUUUACGGGGCGUAAAGCGCGAGUAGGCGGUACGUCAAGUCAAGGGUGAAAUCCCCGCGCUCAACGUGGGAACUGCCUUUGAAACUGGCAAACUGGAGUGUGUGAGAGGAUAGUGGAAUUCCAGGUGUAGGAGUGAAAUCCGUAGAUAUCCGGAGGAACAUCAGUGGCGAAGGCGACUAUCUGGCACAUAACUGACGCUGAGGAGCGAAAGCGUGGGUAGCAAACAGGAUUAGAUACCCUAGUAGUC